rnacentral:lncRNA from 1 species
AUGCCCUUUCCCCGUCAAGUUCCAAAUGCAGGGGGGCUGUUGCCCUGCGGGGCGGGGGACAGAGCAGGAACAAGGCAGAUGGCCCUGCCCCCUGGAGUGGGCAUGCCCAUGCGGGGGGCGGGUAGGGGAGACACAGAAGAAGGGGGACAGGGCUCAGCUGCCUGGACCAAGACUGGGGUCAGAGGCGGCUGCGGGGACAAAGACACUUCUGAGCUGAGGGCUGGAGUCCAGCAGGUAAAAGCUGGAGGAUUCCACCGCAAGAGCAAAGGUCCCGCAGCGGGCUGUGCCUGGUGUGGGCAGAGGUCUCACUGCCCGCAGGGACAGCUUGGGCUCUUUCCUCGAGGAUGGCAGGGAGCCACAGAGGGCUCCGAGCUGGCAAGGGCCAUGUUCCCACUGAUGCCCAACAGGACCCUCUGGUUGCACAUGGAGUGUGGACCGGAGCACGCAGGCAGAAGCAAGGGGCCGCAGCAAGGGUCCAGGAGAGAGGGGUGGUCCUGGACCGGGGCUGAGAACAGAGGAGGGGGUAGAUUGGAAACAGGCUCAGCAGGAGUUUACAGGGAGGGUGAGGGAGGGGCCGGAGAAACUGGAGUCUGGCCGCCCCUGCACCCCCUGUGCAGGGGGUGGAGGGAGAAAGGGGCAGAUGCAUACGCCCUGGGGCCAAGCCCUGCUCUGCAGGUCAGGGGAGGACAAGCGUGGAGCCUCGACAGCAACUGUCCCAAAGCAGGCCAGCUCACGACCUCCAAGCCUUGCUCAGCCUGGCCUCCCCACCAGGGGUACCGAAUCCACUCCCCCAGAUCCCCAGGAGCCCCUCCACCCGGCUGCCCCCGUGCCUCCUCCCACGUGUGCGGUCCUGCCCUGCCCCCCGCACGGCAUGGACCACACUGUGCUGAGCGUGCCACCCUGCCCGACUGCGCUCACAGCACGUCCCCCACGGAGGCUCUGCUGCCUCCCCAGCCCUGUCCUCAGCGCGUCUCCCGCCCACGUCCCCCUCGUGCGGCUUCUUCAGCCACUCUGGCCUCCUUGUCCCAUACCCCCCGUCCCCGGGCCUUUGCACCUGCUGUUCCCGCUGGCGAGCACCCGGUCAUUCUCAUCACCCGGUCACACGUCCUGACCCGUGUCUGA